rnacentral:lncRNA from 1 species
GAAUCCUAUGACUAAACUUCUAUUCAGUCACAUGGUCUGAGAACAUGAAUUCAAGGAAGAGAAAUGUUUCAAAGCAUUUCCAUUUUUUUUCCUUCCCAUGUCAAAAUAUUGUGAAGUGUUGAGAAGCUUGAAAGAGAGGCAUUUUUUAAAUUUGGUGCACGUCUGACAGGUGGGCAAGGGGUCAGCUCCUAUUCUAUGCUCUGGAUUUCCUCCCACAUCUCCAGGGCAGGUAGGACCUUUCCUGAGGCACAGGGGAGACUGGAAUCUCCACAUAUAAUUAGGGAGCCCUCCCAUGUCCUGCCAGAGCCCUGCCCUGGGCGGUGUACAGCUUGCGUGCACCACCUUCCUCCACAGAGCUAGGAGAGCCCUGCCCACUUAGAGACCACAGGUGUUUUCAUCUGCAAAAUAAGAACAAUGUCUCUAUCUCCAUUAGGAGUUUUGUGCAGACUAAAAGCAAUGGUCUAUAAAAAGAGUUUAGCACAGAACCUGGGAUAUAACAAACACCCAGUGAAUUUUAGCUAUUCUCAUUCCUUUUUGGUUUCUGUGCCUUGUCCCAAGUUCAAAGUUCAACACUUAGAAUGGGAGUUGUCAAGCAUAAGUGGCAAUCUUCCUGCUCAAAGUGCUGUUCUCGGACCAGCAGCACUGGGAGCUUGUUAGAAAUGCAGACUCUCAGGCCCCACCCCAGACCCAGUAAGUCAGAAUCUGCACUUUAACAAGAUCCCCAGGUGAUUCACAAGUAGCUUCAAGCCUGAGAAACCCUGGACUUGGCCGUGUGAGUGAAUGGGCUUUGAGAGGCCAUAAAUGCAGACGUGAAAGAAAAGAGUGAGGCUUGGUUAACCCCCAACAGUGAAUUGGCAGGAGGAAGAAAGAAUCCAGCAAGAGACAGGAAGAGGGUCCGAGAGUUGCUCCAGCUCACGCCAGCAGCUGCCUUCACAGCAGCCCCCAGAGGCCAGGCCCUGCUUUGAGGGAGUGGCCCUUUCUUUCUGCAACUGGAGAGUUUCCUUCCCAGGCUUGUGAUUAAAACUUGGAAGAUCUGUGUUUUGUAUGGUAGGAGAGGCUGUUGUGUUUGUUACAGGCCAGGAUAGGGUGGUUUCAAGGUGAGACAUCAGGAAGAGGGAAGAACUUCGCAGCGGAGACCAGCAGCAGCUUUCUCAGCCAGCCUACCCUCCCUUCGGAUUCCACUCUGUGCGUGCUCUUCUCACUCAAAACUCAUUUAUUUCUUCAAUAAAGGAUUCCCUUACGCUCUACUAUAGCUGUGUUACUGCUGCCUUACAACGAAGGGUGCACGCCAUGGAUCUGCAGAUCAGCAUCACCUGGGAAUCUGCCAGCCCCUGCUAAGUCAGAAAAACUGCGAGUAAGGCUCAGCAACCUGCAGUCUCAUGAGCCCUCCAAUUGAUUCUGAUGCACAUUCAAGUUUGAGAAGCAACAGCCGUGCUGCUGAGGUGGUUGCCGGCCUGCUGCCUCCCACAGAGCCCGCAAGGCAGGAACGUGACACACCCAUCUCAGCAGCCUCACCAGCAUGGCAACCUGGCACUUAACAACAGGCAGAAGCCACCUGGGAUGGAAGAAGGAGAACCCCAGACUCCCCUGAAAGAAGGCAGAGGCCAGUCCUCUGAGGGAUGGGGCAGCCAUCCCUCAGAAUGUGAAAGGAGAGCCAGUGUUCACAUGCUCUGGACUCAUGGAAGUCAAAGAAAAGCCCUCUGCUAUCCCAAUCUGCCGGGUCAGCAAUAAGAAAUAGAAGAAAACCGAUUUGGCAACAUCCAGAGGGUAUUAAAUAUUCAUCCUGACUGCCCAUCAGUAAAAUCCCAGCAGAAUACACCCUCUGACAAGUCGGCUUUCCACCACUAGAGGCUGUCCUCAUGGAAGCUUGUUUAUGGCUUUGUCAAUUUUAAUGUACAAUAUUUAAUAGCCAAACCAAGAUAUUGUCAUAAACAUUUGGAAAAUGAGUGCUAACAUUUCCCUUACUGCUUCUGUAUUUAAGGAUAUGUAAUUGGAGGGUGU